UUUCUGACUCAGUGUCUCUUGUCUCCUUCCAUUAUUUUUUUAGGAUGCAUACUCACAUACACAAAAUUCCUAAUUCCUAAUAAUGUCUUAUUUAGGAAGAGAUAAAGGGGGAAGGGAAUCAAAGAGCUAAAAAAUUAUCAUAACUCCUAUAUUGUAAGGUAUCUUCAUUUCUGACUCUGUCUUCUAAAAUAAAACAAUAAUGCAAGCCAUGCUCCCUCAUUCCUCCUGGGAAUUAGAGGUCACCCUGGAGGAGAAAGCCGUGCUUUCAACUGCAGAUCAACGCUGUUGAUCUAUAACCAAGAGGUCUUGCGGAGAGUGUAUCCCUUUUGAACUGCCAUUAAUCUGCAAAGAGGUUAAAUAUGUCACCUUGGCAUUAUAUCCGAGCUCCCCUCUGGCCCAGGGCCUAAGUACACUGAAUAGAAAUGUCCACUUGGUCCAACUCAGCAGAAAUCCUUUUUUUUUUAUUCUCCCCUUUCUCGUGGAUAUCAGUCUUUUUCAGUUCACAGCUUAUUCAGCUCAACCCUGAUGGUUAUGACUAUCAUUCACUAUGACUAUUU
rnacentral:lncRNA from 1 species